rnacentral:rRNA from 1 species
AUUGAACGCUGGCGGCAGGCCUAACACAUGCAAGUCGAACGAGUGGCGGACGGGUGAGUAAUGUCUGGGAAACUGCCUGAUGGAGGGGGAUAACUACUGGAAACGGUAGCUAAUACCGCAUACCAUCAGAUGUGCCCAGAUGGGUUUAGCGUGUUGGUGGGGUAACGGCUACCCAAGGCGACGAUCCCUAGCUGGGCUGAGAGGAUGACCAGCCACACUGGAACUGAGACACGGUCCAGACUCAUACGGGAGGCAGCAGUUGGGAAUAUUGCCCAAUGGGCGCAAGCCUGAUGCAGCCAUGCCGAGUGUAUGAAGAAGGCCUUCGGGUUGUAAAGUACUUUAAGCGGGGAGGCGUUAAACGAAGAAGAAGCAACGGCUAACUCCGUGCCAGCAGCCGCGGUAAGAG